rnacentral:rRNA from 1 species
AGUGAACGCUGGCGGUGUGCCUAACACAUGCAAGUCGAGCGGCCACACGGUGAGCUCUUGCCUUUACGGUUGGCGAGUGGCGGACGGGUGAGGCGUACAUCGGCUACUUCUUUUUCGGGGGUGAUUACGUAGGGCAACUUACGCUAAUGCAGCAUACUUCCUACGGCUGGAAUCAGUAGUUCUUGGUACCUUUCGCGACUGUAUUAGCCGGCGUCGUAUUAGCUAGUUGGCUGGGUAAAGGCCCACCAAGGCGACGAUGCGUAGCUGGUCUGAGAGGAUGAUCGGCCACACUGGAACUGAGACACGGUCCAGACCCCUACGGGAGGCAGCAGUGGGGAAUCUUGCGCAAUGGGCGAAAGCCUGAUGCAGCAAUGCCGCGUGAGUGAUGAAGGUCUUCGGGUUGUAAAGCCCUGUUAUUGGGGAAGAACAAACGCGGAAGUAACUCUGGACGUCUUGACGGUACCUAAACAGAAAGCACCGGCUAACUUCGUG